UCAAAGGAGUGUGUCCCAGAGAUGCCAGCUCAGUCUUGACCCAUGAACGAGCAAGGGAGCAGUGGGGAGGCUGGAGCUGUCUCUCUGAUGGGCUCUGGUCACCAUGUCACACAAUGGCGUGUCUGUGACUGGACACUAGGGGUCACUCAGGGCCUGGUUCUCCCGAGGGGUCAGGGUUAUUGAGACUUGAAUCUGCCACCUGGCACUGCCUUUGCCUUCUGCUCAGGGCUCCCAUCUGGGACCUCCCCACCCCCUGGCCCCACACAGCCCCUGCCCUGCCCACCCCUGACCUCCUCAGGAUGAGGGACCAACCGGGGCCUGUGAAGGGUCAGAGAGCUGGGGGUCUCAUGCAUGGAUGGGUCCUCCCUCUCUCAGAGGAUGAAGAGGGGAAGGAGGGGUUAGGGAAGGUCUGCUCAGCUGUGGGGUCACAGAGGGCAGGAGCAGUCAUGAGGAACGGGCCUCCACCAUGGCCUGGGUCUCUCUCUUCCUCAUCGUACGUGCUCACUGCACAGGGUCCUUGGCCCAGUCUGUGCUGACUCAGCCAUCUUCAGUGUCUGGGUCCCUGGGCCAGACACUCACCAUUUCCUGCACUGGAAGCCCAGCCAACAUUGGGGCCAGUUAUUGUGUGUUUUGGUACCCACAGCUCCCAGGAAUGACCCCUAAAGCCAUUCUCCACGAGAACACUUGGCCUUUGGGGGUCCCAGACCGGUUCUCUGGCUCCAAGCCUGGCAACACAGGCUCCUUGACAAUCACUGGGCUCCAGGAGGACGAUGAGCCUGAUGAUCACGGCUCAGCGUGGGACAAGAAACUCAUUGCUUAUGCAGUGCCCAGUCCUUUGGGGAAGUGCAACAAAAAUCUGCUGUUUCCCCAGCAAUGGGGCUCUUCUCACAGCCUCCUCCCUUUGGCCAAGUCAGCUGCUUCCUUCGUUUGGUGUAAACUGUGGUGUGAGAACAAUGUCAAGGAACUUAGGUUAGCAAAUGAUCCAUAUUCUAUUAACCUCAGGCCCCCAAGCCUGUCCCCGGCUGGAACACGUUGUAGGAGAUUCUCCUACCGGGGAGAAAUUCCUGGGUGUCAGGGGCCAGCUGCCCUGGGGUCAGAGUCCGUGACAGGUCAGGACAGAGCCAAGAACAAAGAGUCCAGGUGUGUCUGAGUGUUGAUACAGUGCUGCCCAGAUAAUGUGCAUCCAUAGCGCUUCCUGAACACCUAGUGUGUGCCACAAAUGACUCUAGGGAUGUGGGUCCCAUGUGGACGUGACAGGAAGGGUCCCCAUGUUCAGGGAGUCAACAGUGUCUGGGAGAAGAGAGAGGACACAAAAGCUAAACAUGUUGUAAAGGAAGGUUGUCAAAAGUCCUCUCCAUGAAUAUCCUUGAUGAUGAAACACAUUGCAGUAGCAUGGGAGUAACAAGGUCACUGUGCAUGAGAAGCCUUAAAAGUGGUCAUGGCCAAAGACGUGAGUAGAGUUCAUUACGAUGCAAUUGACAAGAAAAUGUGUUUAUUCCUGUGACACACAACACAAACA